rnacentral:rRNA from 1 species
AUUGAACGCUGGCGGCAGGCCUAACACAUGCAAGUCGGACGGUAGCACAGAGGAGCUUGCUCCUUGGGUGACGAGUGGCGGACGGGUGAGUAAUGUCUGGGGAUCUGCCCGAUAGAGGGGGAUAACCACUGGAAACGGUGGCUAAUACCGCAUAACGUCGCAAGACCAAAGAGGGGGACCUUCGGGCCUCUCACCAUCGGAUGAACCCAGAUGGGAUUAGCUAGUAGGCGGGGUAAUGGCCCACCUAGGCGACGAUCCCUAGCUGGUCUGAGAGGAUGAUCAGCCACACUGGAACUGAGACAUGGUCCAGACUCCUACGGGAGGCAGCAGUGGGGAAUAUUGCACAAUGGGCGCAAGCCUGAUGCAGCCAUGCCGCGUGUAUGAAGAAGGCCUUCGGGUUGUAAAGUACUUUCAGCGGGGAGGAAGGCGGUGAGGUUAAUAACCUCGCCGAUUGACGUUACCCGCAGAAGAAGCACCGGCUAACUCCGUGCCAGCCGCCGCAGUAA